CCCUUAGAUGUUCUGGGCCGCACGCGCGCUACAAUGAUGAAUUCAACGAGUUUAUAACCUUGGUUGAAAAGCCUGGGUAAUCUUUUGAACUUUCGUCGUGAUGGGGCUAGACCCUUGCAAUUAUUGGUCUCCAACGAGGAAUUCCUAGUAAACGCAAGUCAUCAGCUUGCAUUGAUUACGUCCCUGCCCUUUGUACACACCGCCCGUCGCACCUACUGAUUGAAUGGUCCGGUGAAAUCUUCGGAUUGAGACUUUGAUUUCUUCACGGAAAACGCUGUUUUAAGAAGUUGAUUAAACCUUACCAUUUAGAGGAAGGUGAAGUCGUAACA
rnacentral:rRNA from 1 species